CCUACGGGGGGCUGCAGUGGGGAAUAUUGCACAAUGGGGGAAACCCUGAUGCAGCGACGCCGCGUGAGUGAAGAAGUACUUCGUUAUGUAAAGCUCUAUCAGCAGGGAAGAAAAUGACGGUACCUGAGUAAGAUGCCCCGGCGAACUACGUGACAGCAGCCGCGGUAAUACGUAGGGGGCCAGCGUUAUCCGGAUUUACUGGGUGUAAAGGGAGCGUAGACGGGAGAGCAAGCCUGGUGUGAAAGUGGGGGGUUCAACCCCCGGAUUGCCCUGGAAACUGUACGGCUGGAGUGCAGGAGAGGUAAGUGGAAUUCGUAGUGUAGCGGUGAAAUGCGUAGAUAUUAGGAAGAACACCAGUGGCGAAGGCAGCUUACUAGACUGUAACUGACGUUGAGGCUCGAAAGCGUGGGUAGCAAACAGGAUUAGAUACCCGAGUAGUC
rnacentral:rRNA from 1 species